UCCCUGGUGGUUCAGUGGGUUAAGGAUCCAGCGCUGCCACUGCUGUGGCACAGGUUCAAUCCCUGACCCAGGAG
rnacentral:tRNA from 1 species